UAAGCGGAGGAAAAGAAACCAACAGGGAUUGCCCUAGUAACGGCGAGUGAAGCGGCAACAGCUCAAAUUUGAAAGCUAGCCUUCGGGUUCGCAUUGUAAUUUGUAGAGGAUGCUUUGGGUAAAACGCCAGUCUAAGUUCCUUGGAACAGGACGUCAUAGAGGGUGAGAAUCCCGUAUGUGACUGGAAAUGUUAACCUAUGUAAAGCUCCUUCGACGAGUCGAGUUGUUUGGGAAUGCAGCUCUAAAUGGGAGGUAAAUUUCUUCUAAAGCUAAAUAUUGGCGAGAGACCGAUAGCGCACAAGUAGAGUGAUCGAAAGAUGAAAAGCACUUUGGAAAGAGAGUUAAAAAGCACGUGAAAUUGUUGAAAGGGAAGCGCUUGCAAUCAGACUUGUUUAAACUGUUCGGCCGGUCUUCUGACCGGUUUACUCAGUUUGGACAGGCCAGCAUCAGUUUCGGCGGCCGGAUAAAGGCUCUGGGAAUGUGGCCUCCACUUCGGUGGAGGUGUUAUAGCCCAGUGUGUAAUACGGCCAGCCGGGACUGAGGUCCGCGCUUCGGCUAGGAUGCUGGCGUAAUGGUUGUAAGCGAC
rnacentral:rRNA from 2 species